rnacentral:lncRNA from 1 species
AUCACUAACUCAAAUCCAGGAAGCACAACGAAUACCAUACAGAAUAAACCCAAGGAGGACGCACAAAGACAUAUAUUAACCAAACUGACCAACAUUAAAGUCAAAGAGCAAAUACUGGAAGCAGCUAGGGAAAAGCAACAAAUAACAUACAAGGGAACCCUGAUAAGGUUAUCAGCUGAUUUUUCAGCAGAAACUCUGCAGACCAGUAAGGAGUGGCAUGAUGUACUUAAAGGGAUGAAAGGAAAAAACCUACAACCAAGAAUACUCUACCCAGCAAGGCUUUCUUUCAGAUUUGAAGGAGAAAUCAAAACCUUUACAGACAUGCAAAGGCUAAGAGAAUUCAGCUACACCAAACCAGCUUUACAACAAAUACUAAAAGAACUUCUCUAGGCAGAAAGAAAGGCCACAACUAGAAAGGAGAAAAUUACAAAUGAGGAGGCUCACCAGUAAAGGCAAACGUCAGUAAAGGUAGGAAAUCAUCCACACACAAAUAUGCCACUGAAAGCAGCUAUUGUGAGGAGGAGGGUACAAAUGCAGGACCCUGGAAAUGCAUUUGCAAUCAAGAGACCAGCAACUUAAAGCAAUCUUGUGUGUAUAUAUACACUCCUAUAUCAAAAUCUGAGGGUUACCACAAACCAAAACCUCAUGGUUACCACAAACCAAAUUUCAAACACAACACUAAAGAGUCAUCAAACCACAAGAGGAGAGAACAAAAGGGAAGAAAAAAGGCCAAGAGAUAAAGGGCUAGAGAAAAUCGACAAAAAAAAAUCCAAAACAAUUAACAAAAAGACAAUAAGAACAUACAUAGCAAUAAUUACCUUAAAUUUAAAUGGACUAAAUGCUCCAACCAAAAGACUCGCUGAAUGGAUACAAAAACAAGACCCAUAUAUAUGCUGCAUAAAGAAGAUGCGAUACACACACAUGCACGUGCGUGCACACAUGCACACACACACACACACACACACACACACACACACACACACACUGGAAUAUUACUCAGCCACAAAAAAGGAAUAAAAUAAUGCCCAUUUGUAGCAACAUGGAUGGGACCUAGAGAUACUAAGUGAAUUUGGACAGUGAAAAACAAACAUGAUAUGUUAUCACUUAUAUGUGGAAUCUGAAAAAAAGAUACAGGAGUUCCUGUCAUGUUGCAGCAGAAACGAAUCCGACUAGGAACCAUGAGGUUGCGGGUUCAAUCCCUGGCCUUGCUCAGUGGGUUAAGGAUCCAGUGUUGCUGUGAGCUGUGAUGUAGGUCACAGACAUGGCUCGGAUCUGGUGUGACUGUGGCUCAGUAGUUCUGAUUAGACCCCUAGCCUGGGAACUUCCCUAUGCUGCGGAUGUGGCCCUGGGGAAAAAAAAAAAAGAUACAAAUGAACUUGUUGCAGAACAGAAACACUCAUAGACUUUGUAAACAAACUUAUGGUUACCAAAGGAGACAGGUGGGGUGGGAGUGGGGGUGAACUGGGGAUUUGAGAUUGGCACAGGGAACUCUACCCAAUCAAAUUCUGUGAUAAUUUAUAUGGGAAAAGAAUCUGAAAAAGAAUGGGUGUGUGUAUAUGUGUAACUGAAUCACUUUGUUGUAUAGCAGAAAUUAUCACAACUUAUAAAUCAAUUAUACUUCAAUAAUUUUUUUUUAAUGGGAAAAAAAAAAACAGACCAAGAAAGUGGACUCCUGAGAUCAGGGUGACCAGUAACCCAAUCUGGCCCAGGACCUGGGAGUCAAUGAGACCUCAGAGCUUGGAGCACGGGCCAUCUGGGAUGGGGGAUGGGGCAGAAAUCCUGCGAAUAUAGUCAGUUCAAGGCAAGAAUGUGUUAGCUGUAGAUGGUUCCAGCAGUUAAAAAAACUAGACCUAUUUGGAUGAAACCCAACCGUGGCCUUGAAUUAUUUUGAAACUCAAGUGUUGAUAAGCCACUAAGGAUAGUAGGGUACUAAGCCAUACAUGUGAAAAAUGUUUUGUCAAGUGUGAAUUUCUAUAUCCAUGUAAAGGAUUAUAAUUAUUACUUUUUGUCAAAGGAAGAAAACUAUGUUUUGGUCUAUUUUUGGAAAUUAGGUACCAGUAAAGGCAAAUAAACUUAGAAGCAUUGGAUUUCAGAGCUGGGAAGAAUGUCAUUCAUUCUAUCAACAAGCAUUUUGGGUUACAUCUGAGAAUCAUGUCUGCUGAGGAGCUGGAAAGGAGCCAGACUCAGGCUCCCAAGGUCCCUAUGGAGAGUUAUAAAUACCCUAAGGGUGAUAAGAGCACAGGAUUAGUGCAGGGUGGGGGGAUCUCAAUACAUCUGGGUAUCAGGAAAGGUUUUCAUACAUGCAAACUAUUACAUUUAGAAUUGAUAUGCCAUGAGACCCUGCUGCAUAGCCCGGGGAACUAUAUCCAAUCUCUUGGGAUAGAAUAUGAUGCAAGAUGUAUGAGAAAAAGAAUGCAUGUAUAUAUAUAUAUGUGCAUGUAUGACUGGGUCACUUUGCUGCACAGCAGAUACUGGCACAACAUUGUAAAUCAACUACACUUUAAAUAAAAAAAGAAAGAAGAGUUCCUGUCAUGGAUCAGCAGAAACGAAUCUGACUAGCAUCCAUGAGGAUGCAGGUUUGAUUCCUAGCCUCACUCACUCAAUGGGUUAAGGAUCUGGCAUCACUGUGAGCUGUGGUGUAGGCUGGCAGCUGCAGCUCCAAUUCAACCCCUAGUCUGGGAACCUCUGUAUGCCACAUGUGCAGCUCUAAAAAGACAAAAAAAAAAAAAAAAAAAAAAAAAAAA